rnacentral:lncRNA from 1 species
UCCUCUUCAGUGCUGGGAUGAUGAUGACGGCAUGCACCUCACAGAGCCGACUUGAGAACAGAAUGGGCUUCCAGCUGCCCCCACCUGAGAAAUCCAGCAAGGCUCAACUGUCCUCCAUUGCCAGGGCAUGAGCCUCCCCCCAUAUGUUUGCUGCACUGGCUGUAAUUCCUAACAUGAGAGAAGCAACCGGGCUGGGAAGCAGGACCUGGCAUCCAGCUCCACUCUUCUAUUGUCCUUCUGGGUGCUCAUCGCUUGCCUUGGACUAAGGACUUCCUGAGCUUACAGAUACCAAGCAAGCUCCCCCCAGGUUCCACAGGGGAACCAUUUUCCUUCACACCCCUGUCUCACCGCCCUGACUACAGGGCCUCUGCCUCUGUCCAUGGUUCUGAAAUGUCUUCUGCUGUUCUAGGGGACAGGCUAUCCUGUUAUUCAUUCAAUAAAUAUUUUAGUAGAUA